ensembl:lncRNA
ACGCACACCCCGCCUCCCCCCGCACCCUACCCCGCACCCUCGACGGCGCCCCCUGCCUCGGCCCGCACCUGCGGCGGGGGCGCCGCCGGGGCCCGUGGGCGGCGGAGGCGGCCAGCCCGGAGGCGGCCGCGGCCCUGGGAAGGGACGGGGAGGUGGCGCCAGGCGACCGUGUGCGGAGCCGAGGAGGUGUUAUCUACCUGGAAGCUUCUGGGCGAACCGGAGGAAGCUGUGCAGGUGCAGUUACUUGGUGCUGGUGCGUCCAUCCAUCGUAACUUCGCCUGUACGAAUGUGCAGGAGCGGGUGGUCUGCUGCAGUAGGCACGAGGCAGGCGAGGCCGUAAGCACUUCGCUGUGGAUUUGGUGGUAUACAGCAGCUCCAUCCUGGCAGCAGCCAUUGCUGGCAACUUUCUGCUGA